AAACAUCAAAAUGAAUGUCUUUGCUUCUUAGUGAAGGCUGUUCAUCUUGGACUUUGGAGUGUGCUGGCCUCUUUGAAGGUUAGCUCCUCUGAAAUACAUUAGCAGCGUGACUUGGAACACAAACAACGCUUGCCUGGCAUUGAUAAGUAUUUCAUGCCUGUGCUUGCCGAGUGUGAGAAAGUCCAUUGCUUACAAAUGUAGGGGUUGCUUAACCUCUUUUUUUGACA
rnacentral:misc_RNA from 1 species